GAGUUGUGAUCUUAAGAGCUUGUCGGAAAAACAAAGCGGUGUCUUCUUCUGAGUGGCACUGAAGACCAGGAGACCAGGGGUUCAGGAGAUGGCUACUUGAUCAUUCGGAUACAUCCUCAACGUGCCGGGCACACCUCCUCUCUUCUUAUCCUCCCACUUCCCUCUCUUCGGCCUCAAGUGGCAUUUGUUUUCCAUGGCAACCAGAUUAAAUUAGGCUCCACACUCACUGCAAAGGCAUCAGACAGAACAGAAAUGGCAUCUGGGAGGGGAGGGUGUGUGUGUCUGUGUGUGUG